GGACAUUUUGGUGUUGAUCCGACAGUUCAGGAACUUAAUUGGCCUUGAUUAGAAGUUCUAAACCUAAUCUAACAUAGGUUUUAAGGCCUAUAAAGGCUUGUAUACAGGGAACAGUGGUCGUGUGGCUUUGGUUUUUCACGGGAGAAAAACCUUGGAUGCGCACGAACUUCAGAGGAGACCGUACCCUUGAAGAGAGAGAC
rnacentral:lncRNA from 1 species